rnacentral:tRNA from 1 species
UGCCGCAUAACUUAACAGCAGAGUACUCACCCGAUAAGUGAGCAAGUGUAGGUGCAAAUCCUUCUGCGGCAACCA